rnacentral:rRNA from 1 species
GAUGAACGCGUGGCGGCGUGCCUAACACAUGCAAGUCGAACGGGGUUAAGUGAUGUUUUCGGAUGGAUCUUAACUUAGUGGCGGACGGGUGAGUAACGCGUGGAUAACCUGCCUCACACAGGGGGAUAGCAGCUGGAAACGGCUGGUAAUACCGCAUAAGACCACGGUGCCGCAUGGCAUUGUGGUAAAAGAUUUAUCGGUGUGAGAUGGAUCCGCGUCUGAUUAGCCAGUUGGCGGGGUAACGGCCCACCAAAGCGACGAUCAGUAGCCGGCCUGAGAGGGCGACCGGCCACAUUGGGACUGAGACACGGCCCAA